CGGGAUGUAGCGCAGUUGGUAGCGCACUACGUUCGGGACGUAGGGGUCGCUGGUUCGAAUCCAGUCAUCCCGAC
rnacentral:tRNA from 3 species